CUACGGGAGGCAGCAGUGGGGAAUAUUGCAUAAUGGGCGAAAGCCUGAUGCAGCAACGCCGCGUGAGGGACGACGGCCUUCGGGUUGUAAACCUCUUUUAGCAGGGAAGAAGCGAAAGUGACGGUACCUGCAGAAAAAGCACCGGCUAACUACGUGCCAGCAGCCGCGGUAAUACGUAGGGUGCAAGCGUUGUCCGGAAUUAUUGGGCGUAAAGAGUUCGUAGGCGGUUUGUCGCGUCUGCUGUGAAAAUCCGAGGCUCAACCUCGGACCUGCAGUGGGUACGGGCAAACUAGAGUGCGGUAGGGGAGAUUGGAAUUCCUGGUGUAGCGGUGGAAUGCGCAGAUAUCAGGAGGAACACCAAUGGCGAAGGCAGAUCUCUGGGCCGUAACUGACGCUGAGGAGCGAAAGCGUGGGGAGCGAACAGGAUUAGAUACCCCCGUAGUC
rnacentral:rRNA from 1 species